UCUGGUAAUGAUGGCAGAGAGGUCACACCCGUUCCCAUACCGAACACGGAAGUUAAGCUCUCUAGCGCCGA
rnacentral:rRNA from 7 species